UGUGUAGUGUUGUGUAGUGUUGUGUAGUGUGUAGUGUUGUGUUGUGUGUAAUAGUGUUGUGUAGUGUUGUGUAGUGUGUAGUGUUGUGUAGUGUGUAAUAGUGUUGUGUAGUGUGUAGUGUUGUGUUGUUGUUGUGUAGUGUGUAGUGUUGUGUUGUGUGUAAUAGUGUUGUGUAGUGUUGUGUAGUGUGUAGUGUUGUGUAGUGUGUAAUAGUGUUGUGUAGUGUGUAGUGUUGUGUUGUUGUUGUGUAGUGUGUAGUGUUGUGUAGUGUGUAAUAGUGUUGUGUAGUGUUGUGUAGUGUGUAGUGUUGUGUUGUGUGUAAUAGUGUUGUGUAGUGUUGUGUUGUGUAGUGUUGUGUAGUGUGUAGUGUUGUGUUGUGUGUAAUAGUGUUGUGUAGUGUUGUG
ensembl:lncRNA